AUGGCUCCGUGGAACGCAGAGCUGGGGUGGCUAGGGACCCUGCAGUUUGCCCCAUGUGUUCACCAGCGUCUGCUGACCAGGAUUCCAUGGGCUCCUCCGAGCCCCUGCACAGUCUGCCUGUGGACUCAGGUCUCCAGAAGUGGUCAUCGUACGUGGCCUUGGGACCACAUCAGACCGCAGUCCCCAGACGCCUGCCAAGCCCAGCCUUGCCCAGCAGCCUCACCCAGCUCUGCCACCAAACUCUCACGUCUUGUCCUCCUCCAUGGAGAUCCGAGCCUUACACCGUUCUCACCAGGACCUUGACAGAUGUUCCAGGGAGCCUGUAGGUGAGGGGAGAAGAAUUGUCAUGCCAGCUACGCUGAGUCUCCCGGUGCCUGGCCACAGGAGAAGAAUUGUCACCUUGGCUACGCUGAAUUUCCCGAUGCCUGGCCACAGGACAUGUGCACGUUUAUUUACACUGCAGAGCGUGCAUGCCUAAGUCUGGGGACGAACAAUGGGUGUAGGGCCAGCACCAUGGCUCACUUAGUUAAUCCUCCGCCUGCGGUGCCGGCAUCCAAUAUGGGUGCCAGGUUCUAGUCCUGGUCGCUCCUCUUCCAGUCCAGCUCUCUGCUGUGGCCCGGGAAGGCAAUAGAAGAUGGCCCAAGUGCUUGGACCCUGCACCUGCAUGGGAGACCAGGAGGAAGUACCUGGCUCCUGGCUCCGGAUAGGCGCAAAGCACCGGCCAUGUCUGCCAUUUGGGGGGUGAACCAAUGGAAGGAAGACCUUUCUCUCUGUCUCUCUUUCACUGUCUAUAACUCUACCUGUCAAAAAAAAAAUGUGCCCAAGAGUGAGGACUGACUGUGCAUCCCUGAGUGUGAGGACUGACUGUGCGCCCCUGAGGCUGAGAGCUGACUGUGUGCCCCAAGACUGAGGACUGACUGUGUGCCCCGAGGCUGAGAGCUGACUGUGUGCCCCAAGGCUGAGGGCUGACUGUGCACGUGCCUGUGCUUAAUUUCCUCGCGCUAGCUUUCACGCCCUCCCCACCUACACAGUUACCCGCUGUUACUCAGAACAGACCCGCCUUCUCGUUUGGCAAGAUUGCUUUGCUAAAUGUCAAGCCUAUUAGUUUUAUGCUGCCUCUUCUCUCUUUAAUGAGGCAGGUUGUCUCUGUGAGUUAGUGUUCUGCCUUCCCCUGAAACACUGUCUCUCCUUCAAACAUGCACCAAGCAUACCUCUUGGAAAUGACUUUUCUUUCCUGAGAAACCAUUGGUUUUGUUUUCUGAUUUCUUCAGGACAAAAAUACUUUGUUGCCAAGUGUCUUUCA
rnacentral:lncRNA from 1 species